CCUACGGGAGGCAGCAGUGAGGAAUAUUGGUCAAUGGGCGCGAGCCUGAACCAGCCAAGUCGCGUGAGGGAAGACGGUCCUAUGGAUUGUAAACCUCUUUUGUCGGGGAGCAAACGACGCCACGCGUGGCGUUCCGCGAGUACCCUACGAACAAGCAUCGGCUAACUCCGUGCCAGCAGCCGCGGUAAUACGGAGGAUGCGAGCGUUAUCCGGAUUUAUUGGGUUAAAAGGGUGCGCAGGCGGAAGAUCAAGUCAGCGGUAAAAUUGAGAGGCUCAACCUCUUCGAGCCGUUGAAACUGGUUUUCUUGAGUGAGUGAGAAGUAUGCGGAAUGCGUGGUGUAGCGGUGAAAUGCAUAGAUAUCACGCAGAACUCCGAUUGCGAAGGCAGCAUACCGGUGCUCAACUGACGCUCAUGCACGAAAGUGUGGGUAUCGAACAGGAUUAGAUACCCUAGUAGUC
rnacentral:rRNA from 1 species